UACGGGGGGGCAAGCGUUGUUCGGAAUUACUGGGCGUAAAGGGCUCGUAGGCGGCCAACUAAGUCAGACGUGAAAUCCCCAGGCUUAACCUGGGAACUGCGUCUGAUACUGGAUGGCUUGAAUUCGGGAGAGGGAUGCAGAAUCCAGGUGUAGCGGUGAAUGACGUAGAUAUCUGGAGGAAUACCGGUGGCGAAGGCGGCAUCCUGGACCACACUGACACUGAGGAGCGAAAGCCAGGGAGCAAACGGG
rnacentral:rRNA from 1 species